GCUUUACUGUAGCCUGGAAUUGUGUUCGGGCUUGGCUUGCGCAGGAUAGGUGGGAAGCGUAGAGAUAGUGCUUGUGGGUGCUAUGGAGCUAACGGUGAGAUACCACUCUGGCGAAGCUAGAAUUCUAACUGGUUCCGUAAUCCGGAAUYAGAACAUUUUCAGGUGGGCAGUUUGACUGGGGCGGUCGCCUCCCAAAAGGUAACGGAGGCGCGCAAUGGUUCUCUCAGCACGGUUGGAAAUCGUGCGUCGAGUGUAAAGGCAAUAAGAGAGCUUGACUGUGACACAAACAAGUGGAACAGGUACGAAAGUAGGCCUUAGUGAUCCGACGGCGCAGAGUGGAAUGGCCGUCGCUCAACGGAUAAAAGUUA
rnacentral:rRNA from 1 species